UUGUCACCAACUUAGAUACGAGACAGUCGUCUGCUUGCAAAGAAGUUUUUUUUUUUUACCUGCAAAUACCAAACACUUAACUAGAACGGUCCUAUGCCACAUACCUCGCGGGCCUAGGCUAAGGAUAAAUUAAAAUCAGCUUCAUGCUUUCAUUUAGGAUAUCUGAGUGUGUUGUUUUGUGUUCGUUCUUUACAGGUAAAACCCUCGGCAAGCCUCGUCAUCUUGUGUACUCUGUACGACUGCCGUGAGAAAUAGAUCUAACAUCAGCGGGAUUUACUGAAGAUUUUUUUUCUGCAGAAUUUUUUUUAAAGCAGUUUCAACACACAUCUUGUUUCAAAAUAAAAGAAAUUUGAUCUUUCAAGUAUUAAUUACUGUGAUAAAUUAAGACCCUGGUCUAAUUGGAUAUUAUGACAGUCACGUGAUAAGAGACCAUUUGGAUUUAUAAAACCAUCGGAACUCCAGUUUUUGGAAUAACUACAAAUGUUUUCUUAUGUGAUUUUAUUAUUCGUGGUGUUCCUCUUUGGAGUAU